rnacentral:lncRNA from 10 species
CUUGUUUUUAAUUUUGUAUAAAAUAAAGGUGGUCCAUGCCCACGGGGGCUGUAGGAAAUCCAAGCAGACCAGCUGGGGUGGGGGGAUGUAGCCUACCUCGGGGGACUGUCUGUCCUCAAAACGGGCUGAGAAGGCCCGUCAGGGGCCCAGGUCCCACAGAGAGGCCUGGGAUACUCCCCCAACCCGAGGGGCAGACUGGGCAGUGGGGAGCCCCCAUUGUGCCCCAGAGGUGGCCACAGGCUGAAGGAGGGGCCUGAGGCACCGCAGCCUGCAACCCCCAGGGCUGCAGUCCACUAACUUUUUACAGAAUAAAAGGAACAUGGGGAUGGGGAAAAAAGCACCAGGUCAGGCAGGGCCCGAGGGCCCCAGAUCCCAGGAGGGCCAGGACUCAGGAUGCCAGCACCACCCUAGCAGCUCCCACAGCUCCUGGCACAGGAGGCCGCCACGGAUUGGCACAGGCCGCUGCUGGCCAUCACGCCACAUUUGGAGAACUUGUCCCGACAGAGGUCAGCUAUUGGGGGCAGGAAGGAGGCAGGGUCAGGGUGGAGCUGGGUGAUGGGAACCGCUGCCCCUCCCCCAACUCUGGUGAUGGGAGUGUUUUGAGGAUGAAAAGUAGCAAGGAGGGGAGCUCAGGGUGUCCUGGAAGUGGGCCUGGUGGAUAAUAUGUGUUGAAUAAACAUCAGGUGGGUGGCUAGGUGGCCAGAUAAUGAUGCGGGUGUGGGGACAGGGGAGGUCUUGGGGAGGUGGCCUUCCUACCUCGGAGGAGCUCCUCAUGGGCACACACUGUACGAACACAGAUCUCCUUGUUAAUGACGUACACACGGCGGAGGCUGCGGGGACAGGGCACGGGAGGUCUCAGCCCCACUUCCACCCAAUCCCACUGGGAUAGCCCAGACAGAACCUGGCACGGGAGCCCGGACAGAACCUGGCACGGGAGCCCGGACAGAACCUGGCACUGGAGCCCAGGAGUGGAGGAGGUCCCUGGCCCAGGCUCAACCACAGAACUGAGCUCAACUUAAGGACUCACUAUCUUUCCUCCAACUCCCACCUUGGCGGGCCAGAGCUGUCCCCUGUGCCCUCUAGCCCCCCAUGCUCCGGAAUCCUCCCGACAGCUGCCCAUCUGUGCUCACCUGUAGAAGCAGACCUCGUUGAGACACUGUUUGCAAGGCCUGUGUAUGGAGUAGAGGCGGGUGCACGGGUACUGUUCCUCACGGCAGUCUGGUGACAGGUGGGGUCAGACUAGGAGCCCAGAGUGGGGGGCGGCCCCCAGCCUCACCCACCUGAGGCUGGCUCACAGGGCCUAGUCCCCCCUGUACCUUCAGGCCCCGUGCAGACACCCAUACCUACACAUGCCCACAUAGACCCACGCAGCAUUGUCAGACUUCCCAGGGCUGUAAUAUUCACGUAUCAAUUCACAACCGCACUUACUAUAGAAGCCUAAGUUCAAACAGAAAUUUGCACCCACCCAUGCAUCGCCACAAAAGCCCAUACCAACUCCCGAGCAGACGUGCCCACGCUCACAGAAGCCCACAUAGGAGCGCUCACACCAACCCACACGAGAGUGAGCACACGGAUUCUCCUGCACACACACACCUUGUUCUUUCAAGCUCUCAGCUAGGGCAGCCGGAGGGCACCGCUCAGCCAGCCUGCACUCCCUGGCCCUUCCUCGCCUCCACAUGUGCACCACUCAGUCUCUCUGGCUGGCAGGAAGCCCCCAGCACACUCCCUGCCCCUCCCAGUAUCUGUGAGGUCAGGGGCCUUCCUAGGCUGCCAAUUUAGCCUCCAGCCAGGCACACUGGGGACAGGUGGGACCUCCUGGAGCUGCCUGGGGGGCCUGGUGAUGCCAGCCUACGGCAGUCAUACUGCCCACACUGCCAAGAGCCCACAUGGGCAAGGGCCAAAGACCUCCAGCCCACCAGCACCACCCCCUACUCCACCCCAACUUCAGGGCGUGCCUCCAUUUUUCCAGCUGUCAAGAAAGCCCUUACCAAGAGGCCCAGGCUCUGUGGGCUCCAGCUCUGCAUUUCCUGGUUCUGGUGUGGAGACAGAGCAUGAUGAGGAGCAACGAUGUGUCUGCCUGGUUCAUCGCUGAAUCCCCAGGGCCUAGCCCAGCACUUGGCACGUGGUAGGGACUCAACACAUCGCUGCUGAAUGAAUGAAUGUUGGCCCUGCUAGGACUUUUGUGGUCCUCAUUGAUUCUCUUCAUUUGGCCAGUAGGGACCCCCACAAGGUCAGGACUGUAUAGAGCAGAAGGGCCCUGAAUGGAUCUAGAACUCAAGCAUCCGGACUCCCUGCCUUGGGUGCCCCUGCACCUGCACAUCGGCUCCCAGAGAGGCCUUGUGCCUUGUGCCCACGGAGUCCUUGUGCCUGGGACGUGCCCUCCAGAACCCUGCCUGCCUGCUGCUGUGGAAGGCUGGGGGAAGGGCCAGGAGCUGCCUCCAGAUGCUGCCAGGGUUGGCUGGUCCAGUCUGUGGUCCAAGCAGGCAGAAGGCCCUGGGAGCUGGGGAGCUGAGUUCUGGUCAUAAGUCGUGACAAAGGCUCACUAUGAAUUCCCCCUACUAACCCUACUCCUCAGCCCCACAUAAGAGGAGCUACCCCCUGCCCCAGGAGCCACUUACCAGGCAGGAAUAGCAGGAAGAGGUAGGCAGCUCUCAUGGCAACAAAGAGGCAGGCCGGGGUGGUGUCAGAGAGGACAGCUGGGGAAAGACCGGUGGGAGAGCUCUACCCAGGGCCACACCCAGGACAGCAGAGCUCACCUUUGAUCCCCUGAUUUCGCCCUGGAGAAGGUGGCACCCAGAAUAGAAGCCAGGCAUGGGAGGGCUGGAGUGGAGGGACAUCCCAGUCCCUGCUGGCCCACCCAGGUGUUCAGGUCACAAGGGACAAGGCCUCCAACCCAGCUCCAGGGCUGAUCCUGACAAGCAAAC